rnacentral:lncRNA from 1 species
AUGCACAGUCGAGAUGUGUUCAGUCAACCCCAUGGCAUCAGGGAGGUCGAGUUCGUCGCGAGCAGCAGUACAUGGUUGUCGGCUUCAACUUUCUUCCACCAAGGUGCUUUCACUCGUUGAUGCAAGGAUUGUAAUCUUCUCCCUCGUGAGCUCUCUCUCUCUCUCACUGUCCGUGUUCAUGUUUACUACUGCUUCAAUUUCUUUGUGAUGCAGAUGUUGUCGGUGAACAUACUUUGUGUAGAAAAAAGUUACAAAAAAAUCACUUUUUCUGGUUGUGAAAUUUUCCAAAUUUGAUCUAGUCUAUUAGCUCAACAUGUAUUGUAUCAUCAAAACACACUCAUAUGUAUUUUAUAUAUGCAUCAACCUAUACAGUUCGGUACAUCAGUUCAUAAUAAACAAAAACAAAUGAAGAUCAGUGGUUUUGAUUGCUGCUGGUUUUGUAUCUCAUGGUGGUUCGUAGGUAUAAGAUGGGAUUUUCAUAGCUUUACAUUAUUGUUUUGGUUUGUGGCAGAUAGAUGCUUUUGAAAAAUGUUCUGCACAUGUUUUGUUGGAUUCAGUUCCUCCCAAAAAAGCACUAAAGGAGGUUAAAAAGCAUGGUUCUGCUUACUUGUGUCAUUUUUCCCUUCGUCGACAGAAAAAACUAGUUCAACUACAAAAGAAUACAUUAGUUCAAAUGUCAGAAAAACAUUGCUUCAAAUAAAUAAAUAAAAACAACUUAAGUAUACGCCAUCAUGGAGCUCUUGCCUUCAAGAUUUAUCUCUUGUUCUUGUUUUUCCCUUUCCAGGUUUAUGUUCUAGCAAACCUUUUUUUUCUUAUCAAUUACUCCUUCCGUAAAGAAAUAUAAGAGCGUUUAGAUUGCUACUUUAGUUAACUAAAUGAUAUUAUAUUUCUUUAUAGAGGGGAAUACCUCAUCUAUCCUUCCUUGUAGUUGGAGAUGUGUGUAUGUAUACAUGUGUUACGGAGAGAGAAGAACUUAUCUGGUGGUGUGUGUGUGUGCUGCUACAUCCUCGUCCAGCCGCUCUAGUCCACACUCUCAGUACAACUUCUCUAUGACCUCAUGUUCACAAAUCUUGUAGUACAUUUUUUUAAUAAAAAUCUUGUAGUACUAUGUAAAGCAAGCAUGGCCAACACAUACUUUAGAAGUGAUGCUAAAAACUGAGAUGUCAAAUUUAACAUUCUAUUAUUUUCUUUUAGUUUUGGAGUCUGAAUUUGUGGAUAUGUGAGCAGGCCCCAAUAUAGAGCUAGGCCUUGUCAAUGCAAAUUUAUUAUGCACCUGAUCCAAAUUCUUCUGAUGUUCUGGGCCUCCGGGGCAUGGGUCCAAUAUAUUAGUUUCUAUGCUCCACUGGUUCUCUCCACCACGAGCCCCAGCGUGGAUCUCCCUCAGCGGCCAAAUCCAGGCGCGCCCAGUCACUGCUCGUGAACCCCGCCUCCAUCAGCUCCACUUCACCGGAGUCGUCAGUGCGCAGGAGUAUGGGUAGCAGGUUCUGGUCAGAGUUCGGACUAUACCAAAUGUCCAAAUUACAUGGUGUGGUCUUGUGUUCUUUCCGUUCAUUUCAAGGUAACUGUAGCUGAUCUUGUGGUGUGUUGAUACUGAACUUGUGUUUUGGCUGAUUCUAAACUGAUGCGUAUCCAACAUUGGUGUUUAAACAAUUCUUGGUCCAUUGACUGUCUGAACUUGCAACCUUACUGCCUUGCAAUCUCUAAAUAUUUUCUUGAUCACUAAAUAAGACCAAUUUUAGCAUGUUUCCUGAAAUAUUGUAGCAUGUUUUAUGUUUCCAUCUACAAGUUCACACACUACUGUCUCGGACGUUCAAACAUUUGUUUCCCUGAUGUUCAGAUAUUAUCAUCUAGGAGGAAUACAUGUUGUAACUUCGAGAGAAAACGUUCAUGUUGAUUACUCCUGUCAAGUGUAAAAUUUCGCCAAUAUACAAUCUAUAAGUUCAAUAUCCAGUACAUUAGUUUAGUAGUUGGUACUAACUACUCCAGUUUUUUCUUGAUGUACCUGUGGUGUCUAGUUUUUCUUUCAGUUCAAUUUGUAAAUUUCAGCCAGUUCAAUUCGUAUUGUAGCUCCACUUUAGUCCACGUGGUUAAUUGUUGGCUGGUGUGUGUGCAGGGUACCGUGACAUUGAGUAGGCGCAAAGUGUAUCACUCCAGCAUGCCAUGCUCUAGUGCAUGUCAACAUUUUCUCCACUGCAAUGGAAGCUGCAGAUUUUUCUCCACUCUACUUGCCUUGCUAGUGUUUGCUUUAAUGCCUCAAUGGUGCACUAUGCAUCUUUUGCACUCUGAAGACAGAGCUUGAUUAGUCUGUUUCUACUAUUAGUUCAUGCAAACCUGGUUAUAUGAUGUUUUUUUUUCAUUGUUACUUGAUGUCUCAUUUUCCUGUUUUCUGUUAUAUUUUUCUAGGGAAGGUUCUUGUAAUUAUUAGUUCUUUGAUUGUAUGAUGCAACCGCUUACUCGAUGUCAUUCUCAUUGUUCUUGUAGUUGCAUAUAUGGAAGUGUGUGCUUGGUUUGGUUCCAUUUAUCUUUCUCUCAUGCCUGCCCUUUUGAUCUUAUAGGAAUUGAGGCUUCGCCAAGGAACAAGACUGGUAACUAGCGCAAAGGAGAUCAUGUCGAGAGGUGGCACUGCUAGACUUUUUGAUGUGUAGUUAUGGCAUAAAAAAGACGAAAAAAUGGUGUCUUGUAUGAUUCCAUAAGGUGUACGUAGCAUAUCUUUCCAUGUGGAUCAGUACAACUUAUGUACGGUCUUGAGUUCACAAAUCUUAUAGUAAUCUUUGUAGCUCUUCGUAAAGCAAGAUUGGCCCUUUUUUUGUGAGCAACAAUUCAAACAGAAAUCUGUUGUAUCAGUUCUUGUGAUAGAUAGAAGAAAGUUCACUCGCCAAAAGGUUAAAGAAGUCUACCUAAUAAUUUGCAAAUCUUAAAGAUAAUGAUCAGUUUGAAUUAAAAAAUGGUUUGCAUUAAAAACAAAUGAUCGGAUCAAAUUAAAAACAAUGAUUAGUUUGAAUUAAAAAAAUCUAAAUUAAAAAA